rnacentral:rRNA from 1 species
AGAGUUUGAUCCUGGCUCAGGACGAACGCUGGCGGCGCGCUUCAAGCAUGCAAGUCGAACGAGAACCCCGGGCUUGCCCGGGGGGAGAGUGGCGAACGGGUGAGUAACACGUGAGGAACCUGCCCCGAAGACCGGGAUAACGCCGGGAAACUGGUGCUAAUACCGGAUGCCCUCGCCGGAUCGCAUGGUCCGGCGAGGAAAUGGAUUCCGCUUCGGGAUGGCCUCGCGUCCUAUCAGCUUGUUGGUGGGGUAACGGCCCACCAAGGCAGCGACGGGUAGCUGGUCUGAGAGGAUGUCCAGCCACACUGGGACUGAGACACGGCCCAGACUCCUACGGGAGGCAGCAGCUAGGAAUCUUGCGCAAUGGACGAAAGUCUGACGCAGCGACGCCGCGUGCGGGAUGAAGGCCCUAGGGUCGUAAACCGCUUUCAGCAGGGACGAAACUGACGGUACCUGCAGAAGAAGCCCCGGCCAACUACGUGCCAGCAGCCGCGGUAAUACGUAGGGGGCGAGCGUUGUCCGGAUUUAUUGGGCGUAAAGAGCUCGUAGGCGGUUUGGUAAGUCGGAUGUGAAAUCUCCAGGCUCAACUUGGAGGGGUCAUUCGGUACUGCCAUGACUAGAGUUCGGUAGGGGAGUGUGGAAUACCUGGUGGAGCGGUGAAAUGCGCAGAUAUCAGGUGGAACACCCGUAGCGAAGGCGGCACUCU